rnacentral:rRNA from 1 species
AUAUCAUUAAGUGGAGGAAAAGAAAUUAACAAAGAUUACCUUAGUAAGGGCGACUGAACAGGUAAUAGCCCAACAUUAAAAUCUCUGUUCUUCGAACAGCGAAUUGUAAUCUAUAGACAUGCAUUCGGAUGAGGUCUGAUCACAUAAGUCUCAUGGAACGGAGCAACAAAGAGGGUGAAAUUCCCGUAUUUGGUGUGAGGACUGAUUCAACGAAGCGUGUCACCGAGUCGAGCUUCUUGGGAUUGAAGCUCAAAUAGGGAGAUAAACUUCUUCCAAGGGCUAAAUAUGAAUGGGAGACCGAUAGCGCACAAGUA